rnacentral:rRNA from 1 species
UACGAAGGGGGCUAGCGUUGCUCGGAAUCACUGGGCGUAAAGGGCGCGUAGGCGGCUGUUUAAGUCGGAGGUGAAAGCCCGUGGCUCAACCACGGAAAGGCCUUCGAUACUGGACGGCUUGAGACCGGAAGAGGACGGCGGAACUGCGAGUGUAGAGGUGAAAUUCGUAGAUAUUAGGAAGAACACCAGUGGCGAAGGCGGCCCACUGGAUCGGUACUGACGCUGAGGUGCGAAAGCGUGGGGAGCAAACAGG